rnacentral:rRNA from 1 species
CAAUAGCGUAUAUUAAAGUUGUUGCGGUUAAAAGCUCGUAGUUGGAUUUCUGCUGAGGACGACCGGUCCGCCCUCCGGGUGAGCAUCUGGUUCGGCCUUGGCAUCUUCUUGGUGAACGUAUCUGCACUUGACUGUGUGGUGCGGUACCCAGGACUUUUACUUUGAGGAAAUUAGAGUGUUUCAAGCAGGCAUACGCCUUGAAUACAUUAGCAUGGAAUAAUAAGAUAGGACCUCGGUUCUAUUUUGUUGGUUUCUAGAGCUGAGGUAAUGAUUGAUAGGGAUAGUUGGGGGUGGGCUAGUAUUGUACCGGCCCAGAGGUGGAAAUUACUUUGGAUUCGGUUCAAGACUAACUUAUGCGAAAGCAUUCACCAAGGAUGUC